rnacentral:rRNA from 1 species
AAAUUGAAGAGUUUGAUCAUGGCUCAGAUUGAACGCUGGCGGCAGGCCUAACACAUGCAAGUCGAACGGUAACAGGAAGCAGCUUGCUGCUUUGCUGACGAGUGGCGGACGGGUGAGUAAUGUCUGGGAAACUGCCUGAUGGAGGGGGAUAACUACUGGAAACGGUGGCUAAUACCGCAUAACGUCGCAAGACCAAAGAGGGGGACCUUCGGGCCUCUUGCCAUCAGAUGUGCCCAGAUGGGAUUAGCUAGUUGGUGAGGUAACGGCUCACCAAGGCGACGAUCCAUAGCUGGUCUGAGAGGAUGACCAGCCACACUGGAACUGAGACACGGUCCAGACUCCUACGGGAGGCAGCAGUGGGGAAUAUUGCACAAUGGGCGCAAGCCUGAUGCAGCCAUGCCGCGUGUAUGAAGAAGGCCUUCGGGUUGUAAAGUACUUUCAGCGGGGAGGAAGGUGUUGUGGUUAAUAACC